rnacentral:lncRNA from 1 species
CACAUACAUUGUUCGUCGAGUUCGCGGGUCCAAUGAUAGCGCCAUAGUUUUGCCAUCUACGUCCCCGCGCGCGAUCGCGGUCCGCGCCAGUUAGCGUUAGAGACCAAACGCGACUUAUUCGUGACUUCGUGACUCAAGGUGACCUACCCGGUGAGGCUCCCCGAGGCGGCCUAUCGCGCCUCGUCAUCUUUCGCGGAGUCGCUUUCAGCAAGUUCUUACGGUGAUACAAAGAAGAUUGCGCGAUAUAUGGGAAUAAUCACCAACUUGGAAAUAUAAUGUCCUUUGCAAAAGAACCAAGAGCUAAUUUAUCGAUCCGAGAGGCGAGCGACUGGCGGCGCACUCCGAGAGGUGAAAAAUAUUCGCAAGAUGGACCAGAUCGCAGAAUACGGGAUUUUACGGGAAAGAGGAGGGAAUAAUGUAUGGCUUUGAUAUCGCUGAUAAAAUUUAGGUGGACCAGAGCUCUGCCUAAUUGUGACGACUAAUGAGACAGACAUUACCUGACACGCUCCGUGCGUCCACCAGCUUUAUGACUCUUUUAUUACACAUUAUUUUUUCAUGCAGAAAUUUAAAAAUGUUCUUGAAGCGUGACGAAAUAAGCGAGCGGAUCCGCGCUCUCCUACGCUUAAUAGCUUCCAUAAAAAGGAAAAAAGAUUGACUUCAAAAAUUGGCUAUUUUCGGUCCGAAUCGAGCGAGUAACCCCUUAACAUGUGAACAUUUUUUGCCGAAAUUGGCGGAGCGCGGGUCGCGAAAUAGUGCGAGAAUAUUUCGGCGGAAAUUCAUGGCGAAACAAAAGCGCGGAUAAGUUUCGGUGUUCGCGGUCGGAUUGUCUAGGGUUUGAUACGAUACACACCGAGAGAAUACCGCGCGAGAGGAGAGACGCAGCGUGCGUCAAUUUAUUGAUGGAAUGCAUUUUUCGUCCCGCCGCGUCGCGCAGAAUAAGCAACGCAAAUGCUAAAGCGAUAAAGUAGUGAUAUAAAUUUGAUCGAAUACUACGUGCCGACGCGUUUUAUAUAUAUACGCGUUUUUAAAUGGCAUUAUCGUAUCAGCAUUUCCAGAACACGCGCGUCUCCUACAGAUUGCACUGCUGCGUUUUGCGAAACUUCCAUAAACCUAUUACAGUUGAACGACGAAGUAAACAGAGGCGCAUAAUGUGUUUCGUGCUUCCCGCCAAGUUUUUCUUCUUAUCUCCACAGGGUCAAGCAUAAAACAAGAAUUCACCGACUCUGCGCAAUUCCCCCUCUCGCCCUCCGCCUCUUUCUCUCCGUGUUUCUCACACAUUCUCUUUUUACAGGCGGCCUUUUCCAUAUUCACUCCGUGUGUUUGUUUACACGCGUCACGUGUACAACGGGCUUAAUCAGCGUCCAUUAACAUUUCUCGUUACGGCAUUCUCCCUCGCGCACAUUCGGAAUUUCGAAUUCUAACGCAAACCGCAAACCGUCGAGAAAGGAGGGAGGGAAGGGGGGAAUAUCGACGCCACCCUGACGAUAGGUGCGCAUGAUGUUUAGUCGAGAUCGCCGAACAUCAACGAAAUCACUUGAAUGAACGCGGCAGCGAUCGAGUCGAAAGCGUGUUGGUCGAAGGAUAGCGAAUUUCUCUGCUCCUCGCGAACCAAAUUCAGUUGCACGAGCCAGAAUGUCCUGUCCGAUCAUUGUUAAUUAAUCUUCCUUUUCCGCGUAUGCAAUAAUAAAAAUAUUUCAGACACCGCGAUGGAAGGACGCUCCUAGAGGCGUCGAAACAAUCGUUGGUUGUUCCACGCGAUUCCAACUUGAUCCCGACACACAACUUCGCCCGGAUCCUCCAUUGACCUUUGUGAACCCGCAAGAGAGGACAAGCGCGAGGGACAAGGAGGCGGAUUUCGCCGGUUAUCAUUCUCGAUAUGCAUACUCGACGUCAUAGCGUCGCGUGACGACACGAAAAAUCCGUCCGACGAAAGUGCCGUUAUUGUCUGGAACGGCGAGUCAGCGGCCGUAACAUCAAAGUGCAUCCUUGCGCUCGAAGGAGGAAUCGCGCCGUGUGCGACCUCGCGUUAGCCGAUUCAGCCGGCACGAGGAUCGAGGAUCGAGGAUCGCCGAUGUCGCGUGCCGACUGGCGACUCGGCGUCCUUCGAGCGGCGAAUUUGAACAGAGGCGAGAGAGAGGACGCGAUAUGGAGUUUUGAUAGGACCCUGCAUAUUUUGCCGGAGUUCUCCGGGAUUAUGCUCGACGAUGAUAUCCGCCCGAUAGCGGAGAGCGCCGGAGAGCGCGCGUUGACGAUAUCGCCGUGAUAUUCACGCGUUCGCGCGAUGCAGUGCGUGCGCAAUGCAUCGCGCCGCGGUAUGCUAUGGAAACUACCAUCUCUACAUACCAGCGUCGCGCGAGUUAUAGCGCGGGGAGUAAUCCGGAAUUAGAGAAUGCUGAGAUUAACUCGCUGCGGGGCAUCAGCGCUGCGAAGAAUGUUACGUUGCGAGGUGUCGCGCUCUGUGGGCUCUCUGUUUGUACCGUGCGGCCGGACUGCGCGAUUAUGCGCGAUCGCACUUAAAACUCCCGUCGCCGUUGCAUUCGCCCGAGACGCCAGCGGAGAUAAGUACCGCUUCGCGCGUUGCUGCCCGAUGGGAAAUCGCAUCGAGCGCGCGCGCGUGCGUGCGUGCGCGUUUGCGGAAUUUUCACGCGGAGGAUUACGCCGUCCGUAAAUAACCGUAAAAGAACGCGGCUUGAGAAACGCGAGCUUCGCACCGCUUCGUCAAACACUGCAGCGCUUCGAAAUCAAAUCAACGAGCGACGGCGACGGGGCGAGCGAGACUUCAGGCCGGGAGUGACCCCGGCGAAACGAGGAGUAAUUGAAAAAAAUGAGCUCAUUACGGACGGUACGCUGUCGCGGUGCUCGCGGAGGGUAGCGCGGGUUUUGUCAUGCCGUGAUACUAGAAAUGGAAUUUGGAUUAUAAAGGGAGGGCAUUACCGACCUAUCCGACUAGAGAGUCGGACUGAGAAGGGAACGUUUUCAAUGCAGUAAAAAAGCCGAUUUAAAGCUGUCAGUUCGAUGUAUACGAGGGGAUUAGUAAUGAAGGAGUGUGUAAUGUUACAGUCGUGCCUUGGCGCCGGCCGGGAGCACGGGGGAGGGGCGGGGUCGAUAAUAGUUUUAAGAAUGAAUAAGGACGCACCGUGCAUUUGGCUUCUCCUAGAUAACUCGAUCGUACUUGGACUACACUUGGAGACGCGCACGAUUAUAGUCAGCUGCGGGUUAAUAAUAAAUAUUCGCGCAUCGGCUCGUUCCGCUUUUACUUUCGAUAUCGCGGAGCAUAGACGAGACGAGUUCGAGGAUCUUAAAAUAUCAACGGCGAGUGGUCGUUAUGAUACAAGUUUGUCUUUCCUUUAGCUUUUCUUGCUCUCGAGCAACUUUCCCUGUUUUUCUUUUGGUUGCAGGAAACAAUUAAUUUACUCGAGGCUCGAGUUUUGUUCAUCGCUUCGACCACUCACGAUUCUCGAUUCUCGCGUUUUACCGUCCGAGUCUCUCGUAUCAAUGUGCUAAAAUUUGAGAGCCGUAAGCUCUCGUCUUAUUCAAUGUAUUAAGCAAAGUAUCCAAAGUGAAGCCGUUCAAUUCAUCACACCUCGCUCGGUUAUAUUAUACCGUCUAAUUAGUAGGGAUCUAAGGACAAAGGACGCAUAAUUCUUCUUGGCUCUUUCACAUUUUAUUGCUCGUUAUAUGAGCUAAUUAACCGCGAACCCUUAGAUAGAUGAAAUACAGCGACGACCGGUCGUGUUUCUGAUCAUUCUCGCCGCGUAAUUCCAAUUAUUGCCAAUAAAUUCUAGAUGGUAAUUUCUUUUUUUCUACGGUGUUUUAUAACCCCAGAUGGCCGCUGUGAGUAUCCGAGGAAAGAGGAGGGAGAAGCAACAUUAUUUUGCACAAGGUGUCAAAUGUUAAAAAAAAGAAGUCUCACAAUUUCUACAUGUGGAAAUCUGCCACAAGCCUAACACAAGGAGGGAGCAAUUUGCUUUCGCAAUAAUAACUCAAAUUCAAAGCUUCAAAGCGUUCAAAGCCUCUACGAAUGCGAACGUCACGGGAGUGGUAAUAACGCUGAGCGAUUAAAUAUUAUUUCUGCCCAAGUUAGAACACUUUGUUAAUAUAAAGCUUGACCGGCCGCCGAUUUGAGCUUCUGCUCCCCGCGAGAAUCUCUGAAGAAUUAAACAACCGAGCGUCGAAUUACGAAACACACGAUUCCCUGAUCGUUCUUUCAGAAAUAAGCGUCAAUCUCGGCGAGAGACAGAGCGAAUUUUCUCUCGGCGGGCGGGGCUCGUCGCCGAGAGAGCUCGUCAAACUCGGCGUUAUAACGGCAAUUUUACGGAAUUUUCCCGAGAUAAUGGCUCAUCUAUAACUGUUCGAGAGUGUAUUAUGCCGGAGCCGAAGUGUGGACAGCAGCGGAGCGCGGUUAAAGAGGGUUCCGCGGCCGCGGAAGGAACUCGACACUCCGCGCUGUGUGGUCUUAACGUCUAGAUGAUUGAGGGCCAUGUAAAGUAAAUGUAUAGGGAGGGAAGGAGACAGAGAG